rnacentral:lncRNA from 1 species
GUUCCUAAUUAGCAUUUGUUAACAUUUGUUCCUUUUUAAGGACUGCACGUGUUAAACUUGUUUUGACCCUGCACUGGAGAAACUCGGAUAGCCAAAGAUCUGAUGUUAUCUGUAGGAGUCAGGUGCUUCCUGUUGAUGUGCCUUUAAAAGGCUGAUGCUUGCCUGCAAUAAACAUCGCCUUGAUCAGACUCUUGUCUUGGCAUCCUUCCUUUCUCUCUGCCCCAUCUCCACCCUGCUGCUCUUUCAGGUUUGAGACACUGCUGGACAGUGCUCUGCAUCGCUGGCUCACGACAAGUGGAGCCCAAACAGGGACCUGAAAUUGAAGCGGCGAGCAGUGAGCAAUCAGAGAAGCCUGCUGUCAAAAAGGACUUGGCUGAGUCGAAACAAGGAGGACACCACUGUCUGGAAUGCCAGUGGGGAAAAUCCUCGGAGAAGCAGGGCUGGGAUGGCAUAGACCUGUGCAGAGACUGGCUAUACAUAAGAAUUGCUUCUUAGAGAUGGCGGUGAGCUUAGACUUUCAACAGUUUAACAAUCUUCAGGAUAUCUAACCACAAUGACCAACACCCCUCACCACCACCACCAUUACCACCAUCGCCACCAACACCACCAUCACCACCAUGCCUGUCAUCGAUAGAAUGAUUUGUGGGUUGUGAUUUCGUUUACUUCCCUUUAUAUGGAAUAAACAUAUAAAGAAAGAAUCAUCAUUUCUACUUGGUAAGUAGAAUGAAAUUCAGGGCAUAGAAGAUAAUUUGGUGGAUUGUGUAAGAACAUUUCCACUCAUCAAUUUAUUUAACAGAGUUGAGACUCUUCAUAUCAUAGAUGCUGCUUUAAAUGCUUGGGCUGUGUUACUUGGGAAAAAGAAUCCUCUGAUUCAAAUAAUUAAAAAUAUUCAGCACAAGAUCAAACAUAUUAACAUUUCUUUUAUUCAGUGAGUUUAUUGGUACUUUUUAAGUAUACAGUACAGUUAUAUUCACCAUUGGGAUCUCACACCUUUACAUGACAGGUCUUGGCUCUCAUCUUUUUCCCAUUUCCUACCCUCCCUUCACACCCCCAUUUACAAAAACUUUCUUUCCAUUUUUUCAUUUUCUCAUAUUGUUUCCUUCCCCUUAUUUCCUUUCCCCUACCCUUCCCACUUCCCC